GUUUUUGACUAAGUAAGCGGCUGACUAUUGGUGCAUCCAGAAAUGGAAUUCACACCAUCAUCGAAUUCGCUCAAAGAGAAAAGAAAACAAAACGCGACGAAAAACGGGGUGCUGGUUUAAAGCCUUGGUGAUCUCUAUGAUGACUGGACAGAGAUAAACGAAGCUGAAAGAGUUUACACAGGAAUAGUAAGACAGAAACAACAUGCACACGCGCUUGCUGGGAAGUACUAUUUCUUUAGACGGUUCAAGCUAUUGAUGUACAUUGAGCGAUUCCACCGAGAACAGCUCGUAGAAGAUCAGAUAGGACAACAAGUGUCCUUAUUUGACCUUAUGUCGUUGUUCAUCGAACUUUGAAAGAUAACUGUUUACAGAAACUGAAGACAAAAGACUUAACGGUGGAGCUUAAGAAGACCCUUUCUGUAGUCACCGUUCCAGCAAUAUGGUCAGAAAAAGCAAAGAAGUUUAUGAGAGAUGCAGCGGUAGAGGCUGGGAUAGGUAAUAUCAAUGUGUUAUUGGCACUAGAAUCUGAAGCCGCAUCCAUAUAUUGUUUACAUCUCCCCGAAGAACAUAGAAAAGAAAUGAAUGACCUCGGGAUGAAAGGAAAUAAAUUUCUAGUAGCAGAUUUAGGCGGUAUGUUCUAGACUUAUUCCUGAUUAUUAAGAAGAAAACCAUUAAAAUGCUGAGAUCUUUACAAAGCUGUAAUUGGAAUAUUUGAUGUAAUCAAAUCGUUUUGUGUUGAACUAUAUUUAACUUUAAAGGUAACAUUUGUUACACAUUCACCGCUGUGUAGC